AUUGAACGCUGGCGGAAUGCUUUACACAUGCAAGUCGAACGGCAGCACGGACUUCGGUCUGGUGGCGAGUGGUGAACGGGUGAGUAAUGUAUCGGAACGUGCCCAGUCGUGGGGGAUAACGUAGUUAAAAUUACGCUAAUACCGCAUACGAUCUAUGGAUGAAAGCGGGGGAUCGCAAGACCUCGCGCGAUUGGAGCGGCCGAUAUCAGAUUAGGUAGUUGGUGGGGUAAAGGCCCACCAAGCCAACGAACUGUAGCUGGUCUGAGAGGAGGAGCAGCCACAAUGGAACUGAGACACGGUCCAGACUCCUACGGGAGGCAGCAGUGGAGAAUUUUGGACAAUGGGCGCAAGCCUGAUCCAGCCAGUCCGCGUGAGUGAAGAAGGCCUUCGGGUUGUAAAGCUCUUUCGCAAGGGAAGAAAACUUAGCCACUAACAUUUGUUGAGGUUGACGGUACCUUGAUAAGAAGCACCGGCUAACUACGUGCCAGCCGCCGCGGUAA
rnacentral:rRNA from 1 species